ACCUGGUUGAUUCUGCCAGUAGUCAUAUGCUUGUCUCAAAGAUUAAGCCAUGCAUGUCUAAGUAUAAGCAAUUACAAAGCGAAACUGCGAAUGGCUCAUUAUAUAAGUUAUCGUUUAUUUGAUAGUACCUUACUACAUGGAUAACCGUGGUAAUUCUAGAGCU
rnacentral:rRNA from 1 species